CAUCAAACUGUUUGAUGUGGACAGAACACAGAUCUAAACAAAACCUGAAAGCUUUGAUACUAAUUUAUUAGAGAAAUCCAUAGAAAAUGCAAUAGCAAUUACACAAAUAUACAGAUCUAAGGGGUAAUUAAAUUAGCACAACAAGAAAAUAUUUAAAGAGAACGGCACACAAGAUUUACAUGGUUCAGUCGUAAGGCCUACGUCCACGGGCAAAGGAGGAGGAGAAAUCCACUAUUAAAGAAGGAAAUACAGAGGAGGAGAAGAGAUUAAAUUAAUUUCAAUCUCAGCAGAAUAUAAAUCUCACAAAACCCAAAAACCCCUUUAC
rnacentral:lncRNA from 1 species